rnacentral:rRNA from 1 species
GGGAUCCUUAGUACGGCGAGUGAACCGGGAUGAGCUCAAAUUUAAAAUCUGGCGUCUUUCAGGCGUCCGAGUUGUAAUCUAUAGAGGCGUUUUCCGCGCCGGACCGCGUCCAAGUCUCUUGGAAUAGAGUAUCAAAGAGGGUGACAAUCCCGUACUUGACGCGACAACCGGUGCUCUGUGAUACGUUCUCAAUGAGUCGAGUUGUUUGGGAAUGCAGCUCUAAAUGGGUGGUAAAUUCCAUCUAAGGCUAAAUAUUGGCGAGAGACCGAUAGCGAACAAGUACCGUGAGGGAAAGAUGAAAAGCACUUUGGAAAGAGAGUUAAACAGCACGUGAAAUUGUUAAAAGGGAAACGAUUGAAGUCAGUCGUGUGAAAGGUAUUCAGCCGUCUCUGGCGGUGUAUUUGCCUUUCACGGGUCAACAUCAGUUUGAUCCGGUAGAAAAAGGCGGGAGGAAGGUGGCACCCUCGGGUGUGUUAUAGCCUCCUGUCAUAUGUGCCGGACCAGACUGAGGAACGCAGCUUGCCGCAAGGCCGGGGUUCGCCCACGUACAAGCUUAGGAUGUUGACAUAAUGGCUUUAAACGAC